AUGAAGCCCUUCGGGGUGGAUUAGUGGCGAACGGGUGAGUAACACGUGGGCAAUCUGCCCUUCACUCUGGGACAAGCCCUGGAAACGGGGUCUAAUACCGGAUACCACUCCUGCCUGCAUGGGCGGGGGUUGAAAGCUCCGGCGGUGAAGGAUGAGCCCGCGGCCUAUCAGCUUGUUGGUGGGGUAAUGGCCCACCAAGGCGACGACGGGUAGCCGGCCUGAGAGGGCGACCGGCCACACUGGGACUGAGACACGGCCCAGACUCCUACGGGAGGCAGCAGUGGGGAAUAUUGCACAAUGGGCGAAAGCCUGAUGCAGCGACGCCGCGUGAGGGAUGACGGCCUUCGGGUUGUAAACCUCUUUCAGCAGGGAAGAAGCGAAAGUGACGGUACCUGC
rnacentral:rRNA from 1 species